UUGCCCAGUAGAUACAACCCAAGAGGGGGGGUGAAUUGGGUCUUUUAAAACUUUUAGGCUACUUCUAACACUUUUCAAUUAAUUAUGCUAAGUUGUAUAGAUGCACAGUGGAAUUUAAACUUAGCAACAGUUUGAUUUAUUGAAUGAGACUUGAUUAAGUAAAUUGAAUAUGCUUGCAACUAAAGGAUGCGCGGAUAAGAGUUAAGCAACCAAUUUAUCUAAGUAAGUAAGUGAGCAAGUUAGACAAUGAUAAAAAGCAUCACAAACACAACAGACAUAUAGUGGUUCAGUGCACCCCAGCACCUACAUCCACUUCCCAAGACCUCUUGGGAAUUUCACUAUAAUCCUCCAGAUUACAGUCCGGUAGUUUUGCGAGUGCACUACCCAACUCGUUGUUUUACACCGGGC
rnacentral:lncRNA from 1 species